ensembl:snoRNA SNORD115 Small nucleolar RNA SNORD115
GGGUCAAUGAUGAGACAUAAAUUUGUAUAGAAGAGGGAUGAUGAUAAAAAAAAAUUAGGUGCACUUGCAUUAUGUUGAGGCCC